CUUACCCUGGGCAGUAGAAAGAAGGAACAGAAAGCAGAGUAGAUUAAGAGGAGCAAGUACAAAUGGCGUGGGACUUCAAAUCACCACCUAAGAUUACUUCUUUGAUUUCUGAAAAAGUAGGUCAAAGGAAGAUGUCAGGGGCAAGAAACCAAUUGGGUGUUGUGCCUAAGAACGUGGACCCUGUGGCCAGACUGCUUGGAUCAGUGUCCUCCCUCCACCACUUUGUAGCCAUCUGACCUCAGGCAAGUUACUUCACCUCUCUAUGCCUUGGCUCCUCAUUUAUAAACUGGUGAUAUGAACAGAGCCUGUGUUCUAGGAUUGCUGUGACAAUUACAUAGAAAUGAGUCAACAUGUACAUAGCACACAGAACAAUGCCAGGCACACAGCAAGUGCUAUUUAUGUUCUUCUUUCUUCCUCCUCCUCCUCUUCCUCCUCCUCUUCUUACUUUAUGCCAUUCUGAUAAACACUAUUUUAUUUAUUUUAUAAUUUAGGAACUGAUUCUAAACUACAUUAAGUAAUUUGUUUAAGGUCGAGCAUCUAGUGAGUGUUGGGCACUGUGUUGGAGCUUCAGUCUGUCUGACUUCAAGGCCUGUGCUCCUUUCAAGGUGAGGUGUUUGACACAUCCCCUGCUUGCCAUCCUGGUGGCAUUCUCUCAACCACCAAAGCUUAUGAAAACAUGCCACUCAGGUUAGCUUCCACCGGACACUGACAGAGGAGCAAUUAUACCUCCGCCAAAGAAAAUUCUCAAUGCCAAUAAGGGUUCUGGCUACUGUGGUAUACUUAGAGGAAAUGAAUUUAGGAAGUUUUAAUUAAGAUUUCAAGGAUGAGAAGAGGAAAAUAUGAAGGAGACGGAAUAAAUAUUCUUCUACUUUGAUUGGGAGGGUCAAAAUUCGCUUUCGCUGUCUUAUGAAGGUUGAAGUUCUAGGAUUCAGGAAUAGGAUUCUUUGCUAUUGGGUAUUAAAAAGCAAUAGAGCUCCAAAUAUAUGCAAUCAAUCCAUCCCAUCUUUAGGGAAACCUAAAUCUAAGCCACCUAGUAUAGAGAGCCACUUGUCCUGUGAGUAAAGACUUUUACAAGAUUUAACAGAGAAUAGGAGCAGGAAAGAGACCAACGUAAGGCAGUUGCUAGAACAACAGAAUUGCUUUACAGUUCUGACUUCACAACCUCAUUUUCCUGACCUGAUAGUUCUGAGACGAACUUCUCUGGGUGCAUCUAGAAUCUAUUCCUUCUGUGAGGUGGUCACCAGGCCUGGUGACCUUUUAAGUUUAAUGUAUUAGAGCCAGCUGGGUCUUUGAGCCAGUGGAAGGAGACUGUGUGAACACUUGUAAGCCAUGUGCCUUUGUCCAGUAGCGUUUCAGUGCUACCUAAGCAUCUCUACAGCUAUUGUGUCUGACCUGCUCUGGGGAUUGAAACAUAUAGUUGGAACAGGAGGCAGUGGCUUUUUUUUUUUCUUCGAUAGAUUUCUAAAACCUUUAAAUGAAGUACUGCAUAUAUACAGAAAAGUACAUAGAGCAUAAGUAUAUAGUCCAGUGAGCUAUCACAAAAUGAAUGUACCUGUGUAAGUGCCACUCAGGUUAAAGAAUAGAGCAUUAUCAGCACCCAAGAAACCCACUGAAUAUUCCCUCCAAUUUAUCAUGCUCUUCCUUCUCUCCAAAGGUUACCACUGUCCUGACUUAUAACGCCAUAGGUUAGUUUUAUUUGCAUUUGAGCCACAUAUAAUUAGAAUGAUACAUUCUGUAUUCUUUCAGGUCUGGUGACUUUCACUUACUGUUACAUUUGAAAGUUUUAGUAGAUUUGCAUGUAAUAGGAGUUCAUGUAUUUUUACUGCUGAAUAGUUUUCCAUUCUAUAAAUAUACUAUGAGUUAUUUACCCAUUCAACUGUCCCUUUAAUGGACAUUUAGGUUGUUUAAAAUUUGAGGUUAUUAUGAAUAAUGCUGCCACAAACAUUCUUAUACAUGUCUUUUGUGUAUAUUUCUGUGGGAGUACAUAUCUGCAAGUGGAAUUGCUGAGUCAGAAAGUAUGCAUGUAGUACUCAGCGUUAGAGGAACCUUGCCAAAGAGUUUUCCAAAGUGGAAAUGUGCCAGUUUACGCUUCCACCAACAGUGUGUAUGUUCAAAAUCCUUGCUAACAUUUGGUAUUGUCAGGCUUUUAAAUUAUGAUUGUUCCAAUAGGUGUGUAGUAGCAUGUCAUUGUGGUUUUAAUUUUUAUUUUCCUGAAGACUGAUAAAGUUGAGUACCUUUGGAAAUGUUAAUUGGCAAUUUGGCUACCUUUGGUGAAGUGCCUGAACAUGGCACUGGGUUAUUUGUCUUCCUUAUUAAUUUGUAGUUUUCACUUAUCCUGGACAUGCGUUAUAUGUGUUGCAAAUAAUUUCUCCCACUAUGUGGGUUGCCUCUUCGGUACUUUAAUGGUAUUUUGGGGUGAACAGAACGUCUUAAAAUUAAAGGACCACAAUGUAUCUUUGCCUUUUUGAUUAGGACAUUUUGUGACUAUUUAAAAAUCUUCUAAGAUCAUAAAGAUAUUCUCCCAUGUUAACUUCUAGAACAGGGGUUGGCAAACUAUGGACUGUGAUCCAAAUCCAUUCUGCCAACUGUUUUUGUAAAUAAAGUUUUAUUGGGAUACAGUCAUGCUCAUUCAUUUACACAUCACCCAUGACUACUUUUGUGCUACAACAGACCUUAUGGCACACAAAGCCCAGAAUGUUUAUUCUCUGGCUCUUUACAGAAAAAGUUUGCCAAACCCUCUAGAAGAUUUAUUGUUUUGCCUUUCACAUUUGGAAUGGUAUUUGUGUAUAGUGUGUGAUAGGGAUCAAGAUUUUUUUUCCAUAUGAAUAUGUAAUUGAACCAGUGUCAUUUAUUAAGGGCUUAGCCUUUCCCCAUGAUUCCCUAUGUCAUAAAUCAAAUCAAGUAUACAUAUAUGUGUGGAUCUGUUUCCAGAUUUUCAAUUCUUUUUAUUGGUCCAUUUUUCUAUCCCAUGACCAAUACGACUCUGUUUUACUUGGUGCACUUUUAAAAGUGAGUCACGAUAUCUUCCCACUUCAUUUUUCUUCAAGGUUGUCUCUGUUACUGUUAAGACUUGACAUAUCUGUAUUAGUUUUUGAAUAGGCCUGUCAAUUUCCUCAAAACACCUUCCUGGGAUUUAGAUUGGCAUUAUAUUGAUUCUGUAGAUCAAUUUGGAGAGGUUUGACUUAUUUACAGUGAUGAGAUCCUUCCAGUUCAUAAAAGUGAUGUAUUUUUUAAUUUAUUUAGGUCUUCUUCAAUUUCUUUCAAUAAUAUUUAGACCUGACUUUGAUAUCCUGUACAUAUUUUGAUUGGUUUAUUUCUAGGUAUCUUUGAUGCUAUGAUAAUUUAUGUCAACACUAGCUUUUGUGUAAAAGAAAAAAACUACUAACUAGUCACCUACUGAUAUGGUUUAGCUCUGUGUCCCCAUCCAAAUCUCAUGGCAAAUUGUAAUCCCCAAUGUUGGAGGAGGGGUCUGGUGGGAGGUGAUUUGAUCCUGGGGGCAGAUUUUCCCCCUGCUAUUCUCACAACAGUGAGUUCUCACGUGAUCUAGUUGUUUAGAAGGGUGUAGCACUUACCCCUUCUUAUUCUUCCUCCUUCUCUGGCCAUGUAAGAUGCGCCUCCUUCCUCUUCAUCUUCUACUGAUGAUUGUCAGUUUCCUGAGGCCUCCCAGCCAUGCUCCCUGUGCAGCCUGCAGAAUCAGGAGCCAAUUAAACCUCUUUUCUUUGUAAAUUACCCAGUCUCAGGUAGUUCUUUAUAGCAAUGUGAGAACAGACUAAUACACCCAGCAAAUGCCAUGCUGUAGUGGAAAUACUGUGGAGACCAAAACAAUGUUACAUGCUCUAAGAAAUAAAAAUUGUUGGGUGGUAAAGGGAAAUGACAAGCCUGGCAGGAAAAAAUCAUCACACACAGCACAUUUAUAUACACACACUCACUUAAGUGUCUGUCUCUUCCAUGGGUUGAGAAUGCAUACUGGUAUUGGCUCUUAAGACUCCAUGACAGAAUGGAAAGAGUGCUAGUGGAAUGUCAGGACUCCUGGAUCCUAAGCUUGGUUCUUCACAAACUAGUUGUGAAAUUUCAGGCAUAGCUCUACUUAACCUCCUUAGAUCUCAGUUUUUACACCUCUAAAAAGUGAGUUGGCUCUAACAUUGACUUAUAAAUAAGGAAAGGGAACCCUUUGGUUCCUGGUGAGUUCUGACAUAGGGAUGUCCUGGGCAUGAUUUGUAUGAUUUGGGGGGCGGGGUCUGCCUGCCAAGAGAUUUCUUAAAGAAAAGCUAUCUUCCUACUAGUUUGUGAAUGCUUAGUAAAUUCUUUGACAGAACAAAUGUCUCUGAGAGAGGGGAUCCCCUGAGGUGAAUAAGCAGAGGAAUAACAGAUGCAAGAAGACAUCACAAGGAUCAGGCACAGGUGCCUUACCUGAAGUACGUUCCAGAGGUGGAGAAGGUUCAGGAAAAAGCAUAGAGGCAGAAGUGCAAUGAAGCUGGCAGUGUCCAUGCAGGGACUUCCCUUUGAAUCAUGAAAGUUUCAUAGAAGAGAUGAAUUGAGAUUCUGCCUUAAAAGUCUUUAAAGAAAGAGUUACAAUCAAUGGACAAAAAGUGCUGCCAUUUCUCUUUGUGUCUAACAGUGAUGAUGAGGAGUGGGUAGAGCAGCAAAGGCUGUUUGUCAAAAUUCAUGGUCCUCCUCACCUAGUAAAAUAUUCACCCUGGAAUAUUUCCUGAUCUUUGAUCCCUGAUCCCUGCUGCCCAAUCAGAGACUCCAUUCCCAGCACACCCCUGCAUUUGUGUUGAGCCAGUAGAAUAUAUAGAAUUAGUAUUUGUUACUUCUGAACCACGACCAUUAAGAAGCAUGUGUGCCUUCUCCAUCUUUUGUUUCUCUUUCCAUGGCUAGAACCUAAGGACUCCCAGUUCCCAGGAGAUAAUGGAGCCUCAAGAUGUAAGGAGCCCGUCUAAGCUUUGUGCUGCUAUAACAGAAUACCUGGGACUGGGUAAUUAAUUAAGAACAGAAAUUUAUUUCUCACAGUUCUGGAGGCUGGAAAGUCCAAGAUCAAUGCACCAGCAUGUUAAUUGCUUGGUGAGGGUCUAGUCUCUGCUUCCAAGAUGGUGCCUUCAAUGCUGCAACCCCUGAGGGGAAAAAGAGAUGUAUCCUCACAUGGUAGAUAGCAGAAGGGCAAAAAGGGAUGAACUUCCUCUAUCAACACCUAUUAUAAGGACAGCUAAUAUCAUUCCUGAGAGUAGAGACCUUAUGGCCUAAUCACUUCUUCAAGGCCCUAUCUUUGAAUACUAUCAAUCACACUGGCAACACUCGAAUUUUGGAUGGGACACAUUCAAGCCAUAGCAGAGCCUCAAUCUUUGAGUUAUCUCAUUGAGGAAAGUGGUGUGCCCACCGGGAAUACUUCCACCAGACUGUUCUGUGAAUGAGAAAUAAAAUUCUGUUGUUGUGUUAAGUCACAAAAGUUUGAGGUUUAUUUGUUACAGCAGCCAAUGUUAACCUAAAAAAUGCAGUUUGUUUCCGAAACAAUUCACAGUAGUGACAGGAAAGGAAUAAAAGCACAAUGUUCUUAUAUUACUGCCAUUUCACCUAGGAAAAGAGAGAAAAUGUGAAAGGAGGAUAAUUAAAAAAAAAAGUUUCCCCAAACUUUUUAAAGUUACUGGAGAAUGUUCACAAUUUAUAUAAAAAUAGGAUGAUAAUAAUGUCAACACGUAAUAUCUGUGCCUAAUAGAUUUUCACUCCCCCAAGUUGCAUUUUAAUUUUCCUAAAUUGGCUCAUGACAUAUUCUUAUGUGGGAUUCAACAUUUAGCAACAAAUAAGACUUCCCUCUCUCUUGGCACUUCUUACUCCUCCCUUUCCCCCACGCAUCCAUAUCCCUGCUGCCUUCUCCUUCCCACAAAGCUCAUUUUUGGCAAAGUGGUUUUUAUAAACCACACAUUUUAAUGAAUUAAGUGUAGUCCCACGAUCACACUUACAUUCUCCUACAGUCCCCUGACUUCCACACUCCUCCAGCUAUGGGAAUUUUCCCUCACACCUCCAGAAAGGAAAAAAAUGAAUUGAAAAUUUUGUCUAUAAGUAGAAAAGUUAUGCACAGAAUGUGAUGGCUCUCCCACUUUUCUUUUUUUCUUUUUCUUUUUUUUUUUAAUGCAAGAAGGAAGAUGAUUUUCAAACAUUGCACGUCCUCUGAGAAACUAAAAUAUUCAGUGCUGUUUUUCUUUUGGCAGUAGCAUAAUUGGUUGUGAUCAUAAACCCACAUAGUUCCUUUUAUCCUUUUUAGUGGCAGCUUCAUGGAUUGUCUUCUACCCUGUCAAAGAAGAGAGUUGGGGUGUUUGACAGCAAAGAAAUUUAGGAGAAUUUCAGAGCAGAAAAGGACUUUGUACAUCAUAGUUUCCAAACUUCUUAUUUUACCGCUGUGGAUACUGAGGUUCACAGGUGGUUUAACUUGCCGAAAGUCAUGGGGUUAGCCAAUAGCUUCUGCGAAAUUAAGCUAUACCCAACUUUUACAGUUUGUAUCACAUGAAGUUUCAAUCACACAAUCUUCUUGGAUCCUUGCAACAGCUGCAUGAUGGUACUAGAACCACCCUCUGCUAGUGAAGUGACAUAAGAAUGCUCAUCAGAGUGCUAGGACUUAGAAUUGCAUCCCUGGCCAGGUGCGGUGGCUCACGCCUGUAAUCCCGGCACUUUGGGAGGCUGAGGCCGGUGGAUCACGAGGUCAGCAGAUCGAGACCAUCCUGGCUAACAUGGUGAAACCCCGUCUCUACUAAAAAAUACAAAAAAUUAGCCAGGCGUGGUGGCACAUGCCUGUAGUCCCAGCUACUUGGGAGGCUGAGGCAGGAGAAUGGCGUGAACCCGGGAGGCGGAGCUUGCAGUGAGCUGAGAUCGUGCCACUGCACUCCAGCCUGGGUGAAAGAGCAAGACUUCGUCUCAAAAAAAAAAAAAAAAAAAAAAAAGAAUUGCAUCCCUGACCACUGAGUCCAUAUUCUCAAGUCCACCUAGCCUUUUUUUUUUUUUUUUUUUUUUUAUGUUUUUGUGGUGUCACCAACAAAGCAUUAGACGCUUGGCCAGGGUCUGGAGUUACCUAGACAAAGGGCAUAAUCUAUGCUCUCUAAGAGCACACAGUUUAGUGAGGGCAGAUAAAUAAACAGGUGAUUCCAGCCCAGUAUGAUCAAUGCUUCUAUCUUUUGCACUUGGCAUGCAAUCAUUUCAGAAGCAAUGGUUGCAUUUCCCAAGAAAAAAAACAACAACAAAAUAACUAACAGCAGUGGUGGUAGCAGCAGCAGCAGCAGCAGCAGCAGCCGAUUGCUGACUCAUCAAACGAGGAGGCACCAACAGCUUUGCCUCCCAACUAAGGAACAUCUUACUCAAUCUCCUUCCCACCCCCCAUCACCACCUGUAGGCUUGGAACCAAUAAAGGCUUUGGAAAUGAAAGAUAAUGUGCUAAUAGGAUGUUAAAACAAAACCACUCUCACCACCCACCACCAGAGGUAGUUUGUGUAAAGGCGUUAUUCCCGAGCCUCGUGCUUCAUUUCAUGACUCCAACUUGUGGCACUUUGCUAGGUUUGCAAGUGUUGCUUAUCCAGAGAGCUCAGAGAUUGUUUUUGGCAAAGGACUCAAAGCAGGCAGAUCCAACCCCUCUCGCUGUCUCUUUCUUGUUGCCAAAACAUAAGACUCUUAGUUUUAUGGAAAAGUCGUGUGAAUUUUGCUUCCAAGGAAUAACCUGAGAUUACAGUUAAAAUUAAGUAGUAGAGGAAGAUUGGGAAUUAGAAAAACUAAGAUCUGGUCCUGAAAAUUAAUACUGUGUAUACCAUACCGUUAAUGCUGUGUAUUAAUUUUAACUCUUGAACAAGGCUAUUCACCUCUUGGUUUUAGUUUUUCCAUCUUUGAAAUAAGAAGAGUGAACUAAAUAUUUUCUAAAGUCUCCAACAAUUCUGGCAUGUAUGCAUUCAAAAUUUUGUUAUUUAAUUUUAGAGAAUAUUUAUUGAGUUCAGUUACCAUUAGUUAUGUGCCAAUCACUGUGGUACACACUGGUGAAAAGAGGUGAAAGGCCCAGCUGCCUUUCAUAUGGCUGAGAGACGAGCUAGGGAGUGGAGCAGUUAAAAUUUAGCAGGAGGCGUGGGUUUGAAGAGGUGUGCACAGGAAGCUGUGGGGCACAGAAAAAGGGCACUGGGCACCUCCAGAUUUACUAGAUCUUUCUCCACUGAUAGGAAUCAGAACUUGCCACUCUAAAACAGGCAACUUUAGCAUAUUGAUUAUUUUGAGCUGAAUGAACAGCAGCUGUAGGAAAGGCUCUCUGAUCUCUCCCUUUCUACCCAAAAGCUGGCACAGACUUCCUACAAGAAAAGUGCCUUCCUUUCCCUUACCAGGGAGAAGAGAACAUUCCUAUUACUGAAGACAGAGAGUCAAUGUCAAGAUGAAUCUGUACAAACAAACCUACGAAAACAACCUUUAUCUUCCACUAGUUUCUCCAAUAUUUCCUAGUCACUUUCCCACAAUUUGCUGCCCCAGCCCCAACUCCUUUCGCUCCACAGUUGAUCUUUCACAUCUCCACAGUUGAUCAUUCUUUGUUGAAAUGGUAUAUACCCUCUCGGGCCUUUUCAUUUCUUUUUUCUGUGAAGUCUCCUAUGCCAUGCAAAAAUAUUAACAUCAAAUAAAAUGUCUAUGCUUUUCUCCUGUUUCUCUGUCUUUUGUCAGUUUAAUUCUCAGGCCCAGCUGCAGAACCUAAGAGGGUAGAGGAAAAAGCUUUCCUCCCUUACACCACCUUUGCUCUUCCCUGGGAGAUUGGUCUACAUGGACCACGUCAACAAGACUCCUGGGCCGUCUGGUUUCUUGUUGGCUUCAACUGACAGGCAGCACUUUAGGAGACUGGGGCAGAGAGGAGAGGCAGCUCUGGAGUAUUUCUUUCUCUCCUUGGGAAGAUGACUCCAUCAAAUAUCACUGCUCAUCCCAAACUCACCUACUGUCUCCCUUACCUUCUCCCUUACGACCUACAGAUAAUGAGAGCUCCACUGCUGCUGCUAGUCCAAAGUUUCUGUACCAGUUCCUGUAGUUUCACUUAACUACACCCACAACUUUAUAAUUAGUUGCUUGUAAAUAAACUUUCCUCAUAUUUAGAUUGAUCAGAGGGUGUCAUCUGUUUUCUGUUGGGACCCUGGAUGAUGUAGGCAUGAAAACCACUUUUGAGGUGUGUGUAUAUUGGAGGUAGUGAAGGAGCAGUUAGUUAAAAGGAAAGAAAGGGCAGGAGAAUGGGGAAAGCGUCCCAAAGGAAAACAGAGCUAAGUCUUAAAAGAUGUCUUGAAAAGACACAAUGUCUUGAAAGAAAUAAUGAGAAGGGAGAAAUAAUUUCAGAGAGAAACAUGUGGAGGCUCAGAGACUUGAAAAUGUCCUGGGGAAGGUGCAAAUGAUCAAGGUGACUGCAGGGAAGGACUGGUAGGUAGGAGGAUGGUAAGCGAUGAGGUUGGAGGGGAGGCGAGGGAGAGAUCAUGAAGGACUCUGUAUGUUCUGUGAAUGCGUUUGGGUUCUAUCCUGAAGACAAUGGGAAAUUACUGAAAGAUUUUUAAGCAGAAAAGUAACAUAAUCUGGUUGGAAUUUCAAAAGAUUCCUCUGGUAUGUAGUGUGGGAGAAAGCAGGACUAGAAGCAGGGAGAUUGUUUGGCAUGUUCCUUCAAUGAUCAACACAAGAGUCAGUGACAAUAUGAAAUUUGGCAGUGGUGGUGGGGCAGCAGGAAGUAUAUGUGAGAACUAUUGAGGAAUUUGGUGAGGAAUUGGGUCCGGUAGUAAGUCUGAGAUGAUGCCCAGAUGUUUGGGUUGGGCCAGUUAAAAGAUGGUGGAAUCAUUCACAAACAGACGGGAUCCUAAAGGGGGAACUGUAUUAAUCUGUUCUCGCAUUGCUAUAAAGAAAUACCUGAAACUGGGUAAUUUAUAAAGAAAAGAGGUUUAACUGGCUUACAGUUCCACAGGCUCUACAGGAAGCAUAGUGGCAUCUGCUUCUGGGGAGGCUUCAGGAAACUUACAAUCAUGGUAGAAGGCAAAAGGGGAGCCAAUACUACACGGCCAGAGCAGGAGAAAGAGAGAAAGAGGGAAGAGGUGCUACACACUUUUAAACAACCAGAUCUCAUGAUAACUCACUCACCCACUAUUAUGAAAACAGCACUGAGGGGAUGGUUUAACCUAUCCAUGAGAACUACACCCCCUUGAUCCAAUCACCUCCCAUCAGGCUCUAUCUCCAACACUGAGGGUUAGAAGUCAACAUGAGAUUUGAUGGGGACACAGAUUCAAACCAUAUCAAGAGCCAAACUCAAUUAACUCCUCAUUCGUUUUUUCCCAGUACCCUCAGGAACGUCCCCUGAUCACUGGCUUUUUUUCAACAUUCAGCUUGCAUAUUGCCCUUCAGUGGCCUCUGCUAUUACGACCCAGCCAGUGGGGGGCCAUAUCAGUUCCUUCCUCACAUUUAAAAACUACUGAGUGAAUACAUGCACAGUUCCAGGCACAGAGUUAAACAUUGAAUAGAGGUUACUAUGAAAACCAAUGUGUAAACUCAGUCCAAAAUAAGUAUGGUUAUAAAACGUCUUUGCUCAUUCAAUAAAUCCUUUUUGAGUGCCUACUUUGUGCCUUUUGUUGUUUAUUCCUUAUGUGGGCAACUGUCAAAAAGCUGUGAGAAAGGGCUUAUGCUAUUUAAAUAAUUUCUUCUCUCUCUUUGUAUUCUUCUCCAUUUCUCCUUUUGUUCUCCCCCCUUUCUCCUCCUCUUCCUCCUCCUUCAUUUCCUUCGGCUUUCUUUUUCCUAUAUGCAUACAGUUUUUGUGUCCGGGAGAAAAAAGGUCUAGAGAGCUAGAUUUUUAGAGAGCAUUAAAAAAAACUUGCCUGAAUUAUUGAUUCAUAGCUUUAUAAUGCACCCAGUAUAGUAAGGACAUUUAUAGAUUUCAUGAGCUGUUUAAUAUCUAUUUGUGGAGUACCACCAUGUGCAAUCAUCUUGGACUCAUUAUGUUUCUUUGGCUGCCCAGUGAGUCAUAACGAGCCUCUGAAAAAAUGUAGAAUAAUGGUUUAGAACUAGAGGGAAUGAAAUAACAGUCAAAGUCAAAUAUGAAAUUAUUAGUACAUGUAGUCUGUAAGAGCAAUCAAGACAAGGAAGGGAUAGAGGGCCUAUUAUUACAUGCACAUGUGUGCACACACAUGUGCAUGCACAAACUUUAAAGGGUUUUCAGUAAAGGGGGAGGUAGCUGGGGAGCCCUAUGAAGAAGAUUCUUAAAAGUGAAGGGUUGCAGCUCUAUUUUUCCAUUAAGAUUCAAGCACGUGGGGGUAGGGAGCUCAAAUUAUGGGGAGGAAAUAGAAAAGCCAAUGGAGGCCCUUCUGAGAAGAGGGAGCCCUGUACUGAGAGGAUGAAAGAGACUUUAUUCUCCAGCAGUUAAAAUGAAGAGGAAGAGAUCAUUUCUAAACAGGGCACAAGAAAUGGCUUCAUUUCUCCCUAUUAACCUCUGUUCCCCUAAAGAAAGCCAGUUGAAGCAAGCAGGACAAAAGAAUUCUAUGUAAGCCUAGUGAAGAAUACCUUCUAUGAUGGGAGCCAUAUUUUGAAAAAAUAUUAAUGUAAUUUUCUCUUUCAAUUGUGCAAGUAUAGAUCUUUAUUUCUAAUUGGUUCCAAGGUCAUCAGCCCAGAGGUCUGUGGGUGUGUUCUAUGGUGUGCAAAGGGAAAAAAAGAGGAUAUUCAGCAUUUGAUAUUUAAAACAGGAUUUCAAGCAAGAUAAUAGUCUUGAAAGAAGACUUUUUUUUUCUUCCUGAGACCCAUCUGAAUUGCUUUAUCUCCUCCUUUGGCCUAUGUACUGAAUUCUUAUCAUUUUAUGUUAUCUUUGCAUCCAUUUUGAAUAUAAAUUGGACUUUCUCAUACAGAAGCAGGGCUUUAUCUUCUUCGACACAGUUUCCAGUUUUCUGCCUCCUCCCAGUUCCUCAAGCUGGUUAAUCCAGACAUCUGCCCUAUACAACUCCUUUCCCCUGGCAACCACCUCCCUAGGGAACAGUUAGACACAGCCUACUUGACUUGCCUCACUGACCCCCACACCCCAUGUGGACUGCACAGAUGUGCACCAGUGACCACUUCUCAGUCACAGCACAACUCCAUGGAAUUCGUGUCUGCUUGCUCUGAACUCACCAGUUAGAACUCCCCCAGGGAAACCUGCUUAGAUAAUGCUCUGGACCCCAAUAAAGGCUUUGACCCACAGGUUUUUCUCCCUUCCUUGCUCUCUGCCCACUGAGUGAGCACAUAUGUCCCUGAAGGUUCCUCUGUUCUGCUGGUCCUGCAAAACGUGCUGCCCUCCUUUCUCUGGGAUCUGUAAGUAAUAAACUGCUUCUGGUAUUUCAUGUGUUUUGUGGAGUUGCCUCCUCUGUGUCUCUCCUGACCAACACACGUGAACCUAACUUCUUUCCAAAUCAUGGUUCUCCUAUAGAAUGGCUAUCUUGGCAGGAGUAAACUGGACACAGUCCAGAUAAAAGCCACAAGGGCAUCUGAUAGUAUAAACAAAUUUUCUGUGAGAGGGGCACCUGGUCACAGGUUGAACACUUAGGCAUGAGGCUGUCCACCAAGAUAAAGAAGCACCCCAAGAAAGGCACACUGUAAACAUCUACAGGAAAAUCCCUGGAGCCCUGUCAAGUCAGCACUAGAGUUUAUAUUCACUGUCCGGAGAGAGACCUCAAGAACAAAUUAGAAAUACAACAGCCUAUUCAGCACCAACAAGAAUCACCCAGAUCUACAAGUUUCCCUGCAGGGUAGAAAAGUUAUUCUUUUGGAGACAACAGGUAGGCCAUGAAGCUUGCUGGUCCAUGGGAAGAGGAGAUACCACAGAGGAAGACAGGCAAGCCCUACUCUUCCUGUCCCAGGAGAUGAUGAGAGGAAAAAUGAAGAGAGAGUGAAGGGGAGGGGGCUGAUUUAGGACUAUCCCAAAGGAGUUAAUGCAAACACCAAGGAGGCACUGAGACAAAAUAGAGGAGCAUUGUCAAGGGGAUGGAUUGGGGUUGGGGAGAAAUUUGCCCUUCUGGAAGACUCCAUCAGUUGCUAUCUGGUAAAGGAAGAUUGAAUAUACAAAUGGACAAUGACCAGACCAUACUUAAAAAUAGAACUCUGGCCGGGUGCGGUGGCUUGUGCCUGUAAUCCCAACACUUUGGGAGGCUGAGGCAAGUGGAUCACCUGAGGUUGGGAGUUUGAGACCAGCCUGACCAGCAUGGAGAAACCCUGUUUCUACUGAAAAUACAAAAUUAGCUAGGCAUGGUAGUGCAUGCUUGUAAUCCCAGCUACUCGGGAGGCUGAGGCAGAAGAAUUGUUUGAACCUGGGAAGCAGAAGUUGCAGUGAGCUGAGAUCACGCCAUUGCACUCCAGCCUGGGCAACAAGAGUGAAACUCCGUCUGAAAAAAAAAAAAAAAAUAGAACUCUGACCCACAAUCUGCAGGAAUCUGCCCACCUUAUCUAUAUAACACCCCCCUUAUCUACAAUAACCAGCCUAGGAAGCCAGCCUGCCUGAAGUCAGACUUGCAGGAGGCCAGAUUGCUGUCUCUAGUAACAAUCAAUGAAGCUGAAUAGUAACUUCUGUAAUAAUCUGCAAAAAAUGACCAGAACUUUAUGAAUAAUGGACAGCUUCCCUAAUUUUUGUCCAUGCUUCCAACGUAGGGCCAACCAGAGAAAGGCAAAUAUUCACCCCUAAGUAAUCACUUAGGAUGCCCCCGCUCCUAGUGAGCCAGCCACCUCCAGCUUCCCAUGCCAACAGCCUCCAAUCAGCAUACACCUGGAGCCUUCCCUUCAUGCCACUCUAAGGCUCCUCCACUCCUCUGCCCGCCUUUGCAUUGCUGCCAAAAGUGACAGUGGCAGACUCCCUUGCUAUAGAAAGCUCUGAAUAAAUAGCCUUUGCUUUUCUCAUUUGGUUGGUCUUCGUUUAUUUCUACAGUAGAGAAGCUUAGAAUAGAGUCAGUUGGUCUAACAUGAGGGCCUCUAUGGCAGGAAAUAGAUUGUCUAGGCUGGAGAAUUGAAUGAGGAAUCAGAGUGUGUUACAAAUGGCUAUUGCUGAGGGAAGAUAAAGUCACCCAGAGAGAGCUGUCAGGCCUGACCAAGUGAGAGGAACCAGAACAAGUAUUAUCCUGGCUGUGAGCUUGAGCUAUGAACUCCAGUGGGGUAAGUGGCAAGCGAGAGACUCCAGGAACCAGACCCUGGACCUUGACCUGUCUAUUCUUCCUUCUGUAAGAAGACACGUAAGUCACAUCCCUUCCCCUAUAUACCAAGAAACUAUCUGGGAGAGGAGCUGCAGAGAAAAGUAGAAGUGUGAAAAAUUGGAGUGAUUGGGCAUUUUUACUUAAAGAUGUGGGGUAUCCAUUAAAGGGGCUGUUUAAAUGACUGCAUCAUCAGCUUUGCUGUUACUUCCCCACUAACCAGCUCACCCAUAAAAGCAUAUCAGUUAUGGGAAAAAUAUUAAAACCAUAUUUUCUCUGCAUGUUGAAGUUGUAGUUAAGCAAAUUUUGUAAUUCCAUAAGAACUGAAACUAAUGUAUUUUCUUGUUCCUUAGCUAAACAACUCUGGGAUAAAGAAUAGGCUUUUAGUUGAACAAUGCUGAGAUCAGGCAAAAACAACUCAGCUACUUGCUCCAGUGGAUACCCGCUCCUGGAAAAUAAGACUGUGGAGCUACUGAAACAGCUGACUUAUCAGGACUAACGGGUCACUCAUCAAAGCUCACUUUCAUAUUCUCACCUUGUGGUGCCUACCAGUCCAAAGCUAUUGUGCCAUAAAUUCUGCCCAAUCCCAACCAGUUCCCUGCCUUUGAAGACCCACCUAAGAAUCACCCAGCCUAGGCCCUAAAACCCUAAAUAAUCCUCCCCUGACUUCUCUCUUCUGAGAUGCUACUGGAUUCUGUAUCUAGAUCAAGCUGAUGUUCUCUCUUAUUGCAAUAAGUCUAUUAAAAACCCAGCUUUGCUUAACCAA